rnacentral:rRNA from 1 species
GACGAACGCUGGCGGCGUGCUUAACACAUGCAAGUCGAACGGAAAGGCCCCCAUCUUGGUGGGGGUGCUCGAGUGGCGAACGGGUGAGUAACACGUGGGUGAUCUGCCCUGUACUUCGGGAUAAGCUUGGGAAACUGGGUCUAAUACCGGAUAGGACCAUGGUUUAGUGUCUCAUGGUGGAAAGAUUAUUGUUUUGGUGCAGGAUGAGCUCGCGGCCUAUCAGCUUGUUGGUGGGGUAAUGGCCUACCAAGGCGUCGACGGGUAGCCGGCCUGAGAGGGUGGACGGCAACAUGGGGAAGGAGAUACGGCCAAGACUCCGACGGGAGGCAGCAGGGGGGAAUAUGGCACAAGGGGCGAAAGCCUGAUGCAGCGACGCCGCGUGGGGGAUGACGGCCUUCGGGUUGUAAACUCCUUUCGUUAGGGACGAAGCCGCACUUUUUUUGGGUGUGGUGACGGUACCUUUGUUAAGAAGCACCGGCUAACUACGUG